rnacentral:rRNA from 1 species
AUUGAACGCUGGCGGCAUGCCUUACACAUGCAAGUCGAACGAAGUCUUCGGACUUAGUGGCGGACGGGUGAGUAACACGUGGGAACGUGCCUUUAGGUUCGGAAUAACUCAGGGAAACUUGUGCUAAUACCGAAUGUGCCCUUCGGGGGAAAGAUUUAUCGCCUUUAGAGCGGCCCGCGUCUGAUUAGCUAGUUGGUGAGGUAAAGGCUCACCAAGGCGACGAUCAGUAGCUGGUCUGAGAGGAUGAUCAGCCACAUUGGGACUGAGACACGGCCCAAACUCCUACGGGAGGCAGCAGUGGGGAAUCUUGCGCAAUGGGCGAAAGCCUGACGCAGCCAUGCCGCGUGAAUGAUGAAGGUCUUAGGAUUGUAAAAUUCUUUCACCGGGGACGAUAAUGACGGUACCCGGAGAAGAAGCCCCGGCUAACUUCGUGCCAGCCGCCGCCGUAA